rnacentral:rRNA from 1 species
AGAGUUUGAUCCUGGCUCAGGAUGAACGCUAGCGGCAGGCUUAACACAUGCAAGUCGAGGGGUAACAGGGAAGCUUGCUUCCGCUGACGACCGGCGCACGGGUGCGUAACACGUAUGGAAUCUGCCCUUUACUGGGGAUCAGCCCGGAGAAAUCCGGAUUAAUGCCCCAUAAUAAACGAGAUGGCAUCAUCUUGUUUUGAAAGCUCCGGCGGUAAAGGAUGACCAUGCGCCCGAUUAGUUUGUUGGUGAGGUAACGGCUCACCAAGACUACGAUCGGUAGGGGGCCUGAGAGGGUUAUCCCCCACACUGGUACUGAGACACGGACCAGACUCCUACGGGAGGCAGCAGUGAGGAAUAUUGCGCAAUGGGCGAAAGCCUGACGCAGCCAUGCCGCGUGUGUGAAGAAGGCUCUAGGGUCGUAAAGCACUUUAAGUGGGGAGGAAGGCUACUUAGUUAAUACCUGAGUAGAUUGACGUUACCCACAGAAUAAGCACCGGCUAACUCCGUGCCAGCAGCCGCGGUAAUACGGAGGGUGCGAGCGUUAAUCGGAAUUACUGGGCGUAAAGCGCGCGUAGGCGGUUUUGUAAGCUGGGUGUGAAAGCCCCGGGCUCAACCUGGGAACUGCAUUCAGAACUGCAAGGCUAGAAUACAGUAGAGGGUGGUAGAAUUUCCUGUGUAGCGGUGAAAUGCGUAGAUAUAGGAAGGAAUACCAGUGGCGAAGGCGGCCACCUGGACUGAUACUGACGCUGAGGUGCGAAAGCGUGGGUAGCGAACAGGAUUAGAUACCCUGGUAGUCCACGCUGUAAACGAUGUCAACUAGCCGUAGGGAUCCUUGAGAUUUUUGUGGCGCAGCUAACGCACUAAGUUGACCGCCUGGGGAGUACGGCCGCAAGGUUAAAACUCAAAUGAAUUGACGGGGGCCCGCACAAGCGGUGGAGCAUGUGGUUUAAUUCGAUGCAACGCGAAGAACCUUACCUGGUCUUGACAUCCUCGGAAGCCU